CACUCAACAACCACAUUCCUCCUCUGGAGAAAACCCUGGAACCGCAUCUCCUUACCAUGGACUGGAGCUGGAGGAUCCUCUUCCUUGUGGCAGCAGCUACAGGUGCCCAGUCUCAGGUCCAGCUGGUGCAAUCCGGGGCUGAGGUGAAGAAGCCUGGGGCCUCAGUGAAGCUCUCCUGCAAGGCUUCUGGUUACACCUUUACCAGCUACAAUAUAAACUGGGUGAGACAGGCCCCUGGACAAGUGCUUGAGUGGAUGGGAUGGAUUAACCCUAGCAAUGGUAAUACAGGCUACGCACAGAAGUUCCAGGGCAGAGUCACCAUGACCAGGGACACGUCCACGAGCACAGCCUACAUGGAGCUGAGCAGCCUGAGAUCUGAGGACACAGCCGUGUAUUACUGUGCAAGAUACACAGUGUGACAACCCACAUCCUGAGAGUGUCAGAAACCCUGAGGGAGAAGGCAGCUGUGCGGGACUGAGGAGACGGGUAUCACUAGUUUUAAGGCUGUUUUGAAUA